rnacentral:misc_RNA from 1 species
GAUGAAGAACGUAGCAAAAUGCGAUAAGUAGUGUGAAUUGCAGAAUUCAGUGAAUCAUCGAAUCUUUGAACGCACAUUGCGGCCAUAGGUAUUCCUUUGGCCAUGCCUGUUCGAGCGUCAUUUACACCCUCAAGCCUAGCUUGGUGUUGGGCGUCUGUCCCGCCGUUCUCGCGCGCGGACUCGCCUCAAAGUCAUUGGCGGCGGUCGUGCCGGCCCCCUCGCGCAGCACAUUUGCGCUUCUCGGAGGCCCGGCGGAUCCGCGCUCCAGCAAGACCUUUCACGACUUGACCUCGGAUCAGGUAGGGAUACCCGCUGAACUUAAGCAUAUCAAUAAGCGGAGGA